UGCCUUGGUUUACAGUUCUAGAAGCUGCUUGAAAGCAAGAGCUAUUGCCAGGCCAGAGAUAAUGUCUGAAUCAGGCACAUAGAAGUGAAAUGAGGAAUUGUGAGAGACAAAUUGGAGGUGAAGAUUCAUGUAUUGCUUGGACACUUUAGAGUAUUCUUUUGUCAUCCAUAUGAGUAACAAGGACCUACAGGAAUCAGCUGCUGAUACGGCCUUGUGUGUUCUGCAUUCUCCUCAAAAGCCAGGUAGGGAAAUAUAUUCAAGACAAGCUGGUGGAAAGGUUCAUCUUUCCUCUGUGUAUCAGAAACGACAGAUUUGGUGACCUUCCACCAAUUUGGUGAGAGUGAAGGCAAAUUCAACGACAGACUUUACAUCAUUAAUGAAGUCAGCAUGAACUUGACAAGGGUCUGCUUCCAGUAAUAUCAAGCUCACUCCUAAUCCUGCUGUUGAACAGUCCUGAUUCUUAGAAGUUUCUUUGUGGAGACAGACCAAAUGCUAAUAGUGGCUGAUUUUUCAGGGAGGAAGAGGAUCAGAGUGGUGAAAAUGAGAACAACAAAGAAUACCUGCAAGUAGUACUUUGAAAAAUGUUUAAUUCAAUGAUAAAGAGCCUGCCCAAGAGUUUAAAAUACAAUAAAAACAAGAACGUACAUCAAUUGUUGAUCCCAUCUGAUGGCAGUCUGUCCUUGAGCAUAUAGCUAAAAGGAUUUUCUCUGUAUCAAGUGGCACAACUACGGUGGACAUUCUGGAAACCAGGACUCUCAUGUCUUCUGCUAGCAUGUCAAAAACUGUGAAGAGUCUGAAAUUUUACUCUACUUGCAAGCAGUCUCACUCUAUCUCCCAGGCUGGAGUGGAAUGGCGCGAUCUCGGCUCACUGCAACCUCCACCUCCCGGGUUUAAGUGAUUCUUCUGCCUCAGCCUCCCGAGUAGCUGGAACUAGAGGCGCCUGCCACCAUGCCCGGCUAAUUUUUGUAUUUUUAGUAGAUAUGGGGUUUCACCAUAUUGGCCAGGAUGGUCUCGAACUCCUGACUUCGUGAUUUGCCUGCCUCGGCUUCCCAACGUGCUGAGAUUACAGGCAUGAGCCACUGUGCCUGGCCAACUGAAUGUUUUAAAUUAUGCUGUAUCUCUUAAAACACUUAAAAAUAAAAUCUUAUGAAUCACCGAUUUAUUAAUACAAGGCAACUAACAACAAAGAGCCUAGAGAGACUUUAGGUCUCUUUCUUAAAGAAGUUCAUAAUUUAAUAACCUCUCUGGGCUUCAUUUUCUUUAUCUUUAAAGUAAGGACACUGAACUUGACUUUCUCCAAGAUUCCCCAAGGGAGGUUCCAAGGCUUUCUAAUACAGUCAUGUUAUAUGUUAUAUAACCAAGCACUCAGAGCAGUUCCUGGCCAUUUGUGAGGAAGGAGAAUAGGAUCUGGAGGCAGGGAACCUAUGACUGAUUUGCACUAACUUCCUAGAACGAAUCGAAAGGAAAACCCCACCUCUCCACACCAAAGUAACAAAAGGAUCAGAGGCUACUCUUUUUGCACUUCAUCGUAGAGGAAAAAUGAAAAGUACCUCUGAUUGUUUCCUUCCCACAACCAAUCAGACUGGUGGCAGGCCUAGUCUUCAUUUGCAUGUAACUUUGUAACUUUACUUCAUCCUCUGAUUGGUCCCCUCCCACAACCAAUCAGACUGGUCACAGGCUACAUCUUCAUUUACAGAGAGUGUAACCAAGUAACCAAUGGGAAACCUCUAGAGGGUGUUUAAACCCCAGAAAAUUCUGUAACCAGCACUCUUGAGCUGCUUGCUCGAGCCUACUCCCACUCUGUGGAGUGUACUUUUGUUUCAAUAAAUCUAUGCUUUUAUUGCUUCAUC
rnacentral:lncRNA from 10 species